GCUUUUGUUUUGCUAGGGUUUUUUUUUUCUGAUUGGUGAUUCAGCUUGUACUGCAAGCUGCUCUUCCUGGUUAAACUUCUAAAGUUCCAGAGGAAGGGGGUGAAGAACAGCCUAAAGUCCACACCUGUCAACCCUUUGAGCUCCCAGGCUCUGUUCUUGGCACAGUUAGCAGGCUCUGGGAUUCAUGCUAACGAACCGGAACGUCUGUCUUUCCAACGUGCCGUGAAAACACUUGAUGAUGAAUCAAAAUGUUAUUAAACAAGAGCAAAAAUCCAAAGCAAAACAGCUAU